GCCAGGAUUACCUUCGGUGGUUCGGGGUGCAGGCUUCAAGCCUGUAGCCAAUUAUCGUCGGAGUGGUUCGGCUCCACCUUCCUGGC
rnacentral:tRNA from 1 species